GUCCUGCGCUUGACUCCUCUGCACCAGCUACACCCAGAUCCUUAAACAAUCACGCACAAAAACCAUGGGGAAAACCAAGGGUUAAAUAAUGAACAUAUAAUUGGGGAAUAGAAACCGUGACAGUACCUCCCCUCGACGCGCGGCUCCGGAGACGACUCCGAAGACGAGGCGCAGGGCGAUCCGGUUGGAGACGGUGGAACUCCAGUAGCAACGAAGGGUCCAAAAGGUCCUCCACCGGCACCCAGCAUCUCUCGGACCGUACCCCUCCCACUCCACGAGGUACUGAAGGCCCCUCGCCCGACGCAUCGAGUCCAGUAUGGAUUGAACAGCAUACGCCAGGGCCCCCUCGAUGUCCAGAGGGGGCGGAGGAACCUCCCGAACCUCAGACUCCCGGAGCGGACCAGCCACCACCGGCCUGAUGGAAUGAAGGGUUAAGAUGGUAAUCGGGGGGAAGCUGUAACCUGUAGCAAACCUCGUUCAGGAAUGAAGGGUUAAGAUGGUAAUCGGGGGGAAGCUGUAACCUGUAGCAAACCUCGUUCAGGAAUGAAGGGUUAAGAUGGUAAUCGGGGGGAAGCUGUAACCUGUAGCAAACCUCGUUCAGUCUCCUCUGGACUUUAAAUGGUCCCUAAAACCGCGGGCCCAGCUUCCGACAGGGCAGGCGGAAGGGCAGGUCGAGAGCCAGACCCUGUCCCCCGGUGCGAACACUGGGGCCUCACUGCGGUGGCGAUCGGCACUCGCCUUCUGACACCUCACGGCCUGUUGCAGGUGCACAUGAGCGGCGUCCCAGGUCUGCCCUUUUAUGGAAGGGGGUUGAAUGAAGAAAGAAAUAGCGAUCUGUUUGCCCAAAUAGGGGAGUCAUUUUGUAGCUGUUGCUGGUUGAGCAGUAGACUACAUGUAUUGUGUCAUUGUUGCUAUGACUUUUUGAACUUCCAGUGGACAUGGGAAUUCUGAACCUCAAACAGAGUUGGCCAAGCACUGUCAAUUAUUCAAGUCCUUCCACAUCUCUCCUCUUUCAAUUCACUUCUCAUCAGGAAUGGAGGGAUGGAAGGACGAAGGGAUGAUUGUAGAUCCAUCCAUUCAUGGGGUUUUAGUCACUGUGGAGUGUUUUUAUAACCAGAGGGUUGAUUGGUGAUUGGCAUGUUAUUGGUUAUUGAUCUAAGAACCAUGUCAUCCUGUGGACGUGUCAAAGACACCCCAGGGGAUAGGCUGUCAACCAGCAGGAUCGGUCGAUUCGAUUGGUUUAGAAACAGACAUGCUCACACUAGAUACACGUGUGCCUUGUAUGUGUGUGUGUGAGUGUGUGUCUCAUUUAUAGUAGAAUGAAUGACUGUAUUGAGCCCAAGUGUAUCUUGAUUCCCGAGAGUGUCUCGCAAAACUCUCUCUCUCUCUCUCUCUCUCUCUCUCUCUCUCUCUCUCACACACUUUCUCUCUCUCUCUCUCUCUCUCUCUCUCUCUCUCUCUCUCUCUCUCUCUCUCUCUCUCUCUCUCUCUCUCUCUUUCUCUCUCUCUCUCUCUCUCUCUCUCUCUCUCUCUCACACACUUUCUCUUUCUCGCUGACUCUCUUUUUUCUAAAUUAUUGUACUAUACUGCCAUCUUCUGUAAGAACUCGGAAAGACACCGAAUUACACAAGAACUAGUCAAUUACCAUUCGGCAAUUUAACUUGGAUUGUAAUUAAAUUCACGUGAACCAAGUGCUGUCGAUUCAGAUUACUGUAAGAGAAGAGACUUGUCAGUCACUUAUUACUGUGUGUGUGUGUGUGUGUGUGUGUGUGUGUGUGUGUGUGUGUGUGUGUGUGUGUGUGUGUGUGUGUGUGUGUGUGUGUGUGUGUGUGAGAACCUAUUUUACCCCCAACUGUCAAGGAGCAGCUACUUUGAACUGAAAAUCCACUAGACUCUAACCCAGUCAUAUAGGUCACCUGUUCCAGUACCCAGUCAUAUAGGUCACCUGUUCCAGUACCCAGUCAUAUAGGUCACCUGUUCAGGUAUCCAGUCAUAUAGGUCACCUGUUCAGGUAUCCAGUCAUAUAGGUCACCUGUUCAGGUAUCCAGUCAUAUAGGUCACCUGUUCAGGUAUCCAGUCAUAUAGGUCACCUGUUCCAGUACCCAGUCAUAUAGGUCACCUGUUCAGGUAUCCAGUCAUAUAGGUCACCUGUUCAGGUAUCCAGUCAUAUAGGUCACCUGUUCAGGUAUCCAGUCAUAUAGGUCACCUGUUCAGGAAUCCAGUCAUAUAGGUCACCUGUUCAGGUAUCCAGUCAUAUAGGUCACCUGUUCAGGAAUCCAGUCAUAUAGGUCACCUGUUCAGGUAUCCAGUCAUAUAGGUCACCUGUUCAGGUAUCCAGUCAUAUAGGUCACCUGUUCAGGUAUCCAGUCAUAUAGGUCACCUGUUCAGGUAUCCAGUCAUAUAGGUCACCUGUUCAGGUAUCCAGUCAUAUAGGUCACCUGUUCAGGUAUCCAGUCAUAUAGGUCACCUGUUCAGGUAUCCAGUCAUAUAGGUCACCUGUUCAGGUAUCCAGUCAUAUAGGUCACCUGUUCAGGUAUCCAGUCAUAUAGGUCACCUGUUCAGGUAUCCAGUCAUAUAGGUCACCUGUUCAGGUAUCCAGUC